GGGGUUGUAGCUCAGUAGUGGAGCGCUUGCCUUGUAUGCGUGAAGCACUGGGUUCGAUCCUCAGCACCA
rnacentral:tRNA from 1 species